rnacentral:rRNA from 1 species
CCUACGGGCGGCUGCAGUGAGGAAUAUUGGUCAAUGGGCGCGAGCCUGAACCAGCCAAGUCGCGUGAGGGAAGACGGCCCUACGGGUUGUAAACCUCUUUUGCCGGGGAGCAACGGGCGCCACGUGUGGCGCCACUGAGAGUACCCGGAGAAAAAGCAUCGGCUAACUCCGUGCCAGCAGCCGCGGUAAUACGGAGGAUGCGAGCGUUAUCCGGAUUUAUUGGGUUUAAAGGGUGCGUAGGCGGACUGUUAAGUCAGCGGUAAAAGCCCGGGGCUCAACCCCGGCGAGCCGUUGAAACUGGCUGUCUUGAGAUGUCGAGAGGUAUGCGGAAUGCGCAGUGUAGCGGUGAAAUGCUUAGAUAUUGCGCAGAACUCCGAUUGCGAAGGCAGCAUACCGGCGGCGAUCCGACGCUGAGGCACGAAAGCGUGGGUAUCGAACAGGAUUAGAUACCCUUGUAGUC